AUAGUUACCUGGCAGAGGAGACACCAUAAUAACAAAGGUAGUUUUUCCAGGGCGAGGCUUAACCAUUGCACUCUGGAUGUGCUGGCCCAUGUGAUUUACCCAAAUUAGGGAAACUUGACUGCAUAAUUUGGCGGGGGACUGCAUUUGUUCUCUCCCCAG
ensembl:snRNA U1 U1 spliceosomal RNA